rnacentral:lncRNA from 11 species
AAGACCUCAGUGGCUGAUCAGGCAGAAGAUAACAUGGUACGUGUUACAACAGCUGUGAAGACGGAAGAAUCCUGCAACAGAUUGAGAAGCGACCAUCGUCGUGUUAACCAUGCCACUGGUUGGGACCCUCACUCAGCUGUGCACCGACCUCCACACAUUAAAAAAAAACCCUCAUAUAUAGGCGUCUUCAAUAACUUGGAAGGUCAUCAUACUCGCACAAUGAGGGAUCGCCUAAGUAAGCCAAACACUUUGAUUAUAUCAAAGAUAAACCUCUCAUGAAGCACAACAAGCUGGGAUAGAUCGA